AACGAACGCUGGCGGCAUGCCUAACACAUGCAAGUCGAACGAGACCUUCGGGUCUAGUGGCGCACGGGUGCGUAACGCGUGGGAAUCUGCCCUUGGGUUCGGAAUAACAGCGAGAAAUUGCUGCUAAUACCGGAUGAUGACGUAAGUCCAAAGAUUUAUCGCCCAAGGAUGAGCCCGCGUAGGAUUAGCUAGUUGGUGAGGUAAAGGCUCACCAAGGCGACGAUCCUUAGCUGGUCUGAGAGGAUGAUCAGCCACACUGGGACUGAGACACGGCCCAGACUCCUACGGGAGGCAGCAGUGGGGAAUAUUGGACAAUGGGCGAAAGCCUGAUCCAGCAAUGCCGCGUGAGUGAUGAAGGCCUUAGGGUGUAAAGCUCUUUUACCCGGGAUGAUAAUGACAGUACCGGGAGAAUAAGACUCCGGCUAACUCCGUGCCAGCAGCCGCGGU
rnacentral:rRNA from 1 species